AGAGUUUGAUCCUGGCUCAGAACGAACGCUGGCGGCGUGGAUAAGACAUGCAAGUCGAGCGAGAUUUUUUUCUGUAGCAAUACAGGGAAAAGUCUAGCGGCGAACGGGUGCGUAACACGUGGGCAAUCUGCCGAGAAGUGGGGGAUAGCUCGCCGAAAGGGAAUUAAUACCGCAUGUGAUUAGAGUGGACAUCCAUUCAAAAUCAAAGUCGGGGCAACCUGACGCUUCUUGAGGAGCCCGCGGCCUAUCAGCUAGUUGGUGAGGUAACGGCCCACCAAGGCUUAGACGGGUAGCUGGUCUGAGAGGACGACCAGCCACACUGGGACUGAGACACGGCCCAGACACCUACGGGUGGCAGCAGUCGAGAAUUUUUCUCAAUGGGGGAAACCCUGAAGGAGCGACGCCGCGUGGAGGAUGAAGGUCUUCGGGUUGUAAACUCCUGUCAUUUGGGAACAAUGCGUAAAUAUUAACUGUAUUUGCGUUGAUAGUACCAGAAGAGGAAGGGACGGCUAACUCUGUGCCAGCAGCCGCGGUAAUACAGAGGUCUCAAGCGUUGUUCGGAUUCAUUGGGCGUAAAGGGUGCGUAGGCGGCGCGGUAAGUCGGGUGUGAAAUCUCGGGGCUUAACUCCGAAACUGCAUUCGAUACUGCCGUGCUUGAGGACUGGAGAGGAGACUGGAAUUUACGGUGUAGCGGUGAAAUGCGUAGAUAUCGUAAGGAAGACCAGUGGCGAAGGCGGGUCUCUGGACAGUUCCUGACGCUGAGGCACGAAGGCCAGGGGAGCAAACGGGAUUAGAUACCCUAGUAGUCC
rnacentral:rRNA from 1 species